UGAGUUUGAUCCUGGCUCAGGAUUAACGCAUAAGACGCACAUAACACAUGCAAGUUAAAUGAAAUUUAAUAAAUAUAAAAAAAAUUAUAUUAUUUAAUAUUUCAUAGCGAACGGGUGAGUAAAACAUAAAAAUCAAAGUUUAGGUUAGAAAUAAUAAAAAUAAAUUUUUGAUAAUUUCUAAUAAACGCAAACUAAGUGUUUUAAAAAGGUUAUUACUGUCUAAAAAUGAAUUUAUGUCUGAUUAGCUAGUAGGUAAAGUAUAAGCUUACCUAGGCGAGGAUCAGUAGCUGGCCUGAGAGGGUGGUCAGCCACAUUGGGAUUGAGAUAAGGCCCAAACUCCUAAGGGAGGCAGCAGUGGGGAAUUUUCUGCAAUGAGCGUAAGCUUGACAGAGUGACGUCAUGUGAAGGAUUAAGGCCUUUAAGGUUGUAAACUUCUUUUGCCUUAGUUAUCAAUACUGAUAUUAAAAGGUUUCAAAAAGCAUCGGCUAAUUUCGUGCCAGCAGCCGCGGUAAGACGAGGGAUGCAAGCGUUAUCCGGAAUUACUGGGCGUAAAGCGUUUGUAGGUUGUUUUAUAUGUCUUUAAUAAAAAUACUUAGUUUUAAAUAAGUAAAAGUUAAAGAAACUAUAAGACUAGAGUAUAUUUAUUUAGAGGUAAGAGGAAUUUCUUAAGGAGUGGUGAAAUACGAAGAUAUAAGAAAGAAGGUUAUACGCGAAAGCAUCUUACUGGGUUAUUUCUGACACUGAUAAACGAAAGUUAAGGAAGCAAAUGGGAUUAGAUACCCCAGUAGUCUUAACUGUAAACGAUGGGUACUCGGUACUGAUAUUGAUAAAUAAAAUAACAGUUCCCUAGCUAACGCGUUAAGUAUCCCGCCUGAGGAGUACGUCCGCAAGGUUGAAACUCAAAGGAAUUGACGGGGGCUCGCACAAGCGGUGGAGCAUGUGGUUUAAUUCGAUGCAACACGAAAAACCUUACCAGAACUUAAAUUUAUGUAAUAAAAAUAUCUUAAUAGAAUUUUUAUAUAAAAAACAUAAAAUAGGUGGUGCAUGGUUGUCGUCAGCUCGUGUCGUGAGAUGUUGGGUUAAGUCCCGCAACGAGCGUAACCCUUAUUAAAAGUUUAAUUAAAAUUAAUUACUUUUUUACUAUUUAAUUUUAUCUUAUUAUAAAAGAUUAAAAGGAAGUAAGGAUGACGUCAAGUCAGCAUGCCCUUUAUGUUCUGGGCUACACACGUGCUACAAUGGAUAGUACAAUAGGAAAUUUUUAUUUUAUCGUAAGAAAAAAUUAAACCUUAAAACUAUUUUUAGUUCAGAUCAUAAACUGCAACUCUUUUAUGUGAAGUUGGAAUCGCUAGUAAUCGCCGGUCAGCUAUACGGCGGUGAAUUUGUUCUCGAGCCUUGUACACACUGCCCGUCACGCCACGAAAGUUAGGUUUUUCUAAAACUAUUUUAUUAAAUAACUAAGAAAAAAUUAAUAAUUGGGGUGAAGUCGUAACAAGGUAGCCGUACUGGAAGGUGUGGCUGGAUUAAAA
rnacentral:rRNA from 1 species